CCUCCUGUAACCAUUUAAAGCAGAGUGCCGAAGCACAUUGUGAAGACGACAAAGUUAAUAUUUCACAGAUCUCUCUUCGCGUAUGUCCUUCUGCAGAGGUCGUCCUCUGUCCGAUAGCUAAGGGGUUCUUGAUCUCAGCCAGAAUUGAUGCGUUAAGGCUCCAGCUGCAAAUAAUUGGGUGGCAGGAGUAACCUUCGCUUUUUUUUCAUUAUAAAUCUCAGUUAGCAGUGAGUAAGAAGCGGAAACAUGGGUUUCCUUAAGAAAACACGAGGAUUACCCCCAAAGGGACUAAAGCCGCAAUGUGGAAAACUGAACGCAACGUGCAGCACGUUUCCAAAUGAGGGGAUUGACUACGGCACAGAUUCCGUAAAGCAUUCCUGGAACAGAUCAUUGUCUUCCUACAUGACUCAGCUACACUUUAGCUUCAGUUCAUGGUUAGAUGGCUUGGCCUGGUACUGUGUGAAGAAUCAUCUGACAGAGACAAAGUAUUGAUGCAGCAAAACAUGCCAAAAUCAUGACCUGAACACCACUAACUUCAUCUGAAGCAAGAAAUGUAUGCAGACCCCUGGAUAUUACUAUAAGAAUCAUUGUUUUUUCCUGAAAAAUAUUUUGCUUUGCUCUUGGAGACAUUUUGGCAAGACCUCCAGUUUUUAGAAAACUGGUUGCUGACACAUUAUGGACAAAAUUAUUUUGACUAUGGUUUUGUCUGGAAACUAAAGGCUUAGAAUUAGCUAUGUAACCCCUUUUGACUAAAGUCUCACUAGAGACUGUAGCAAAAAAGAGAAUAAUGGCAAAAUUAGAGGCCAUCAUGGCUAAUAAUGACUAUUGUAUCUGUUACACAUUGUCCUUGGACAUUUUUCACUAUCAGCUCAUUCCACCAUGUGGUAAAAUGUGCUAAAGGGAAUCUAUCCUUUUCAACUAAUAUAUUGGCAUCGAAACUAAAUUUUUUCAGGAACAAUGUACAUUAAAUUUAUACUGUGUAUAUAUUGUGUAUUCUGGAGCUUGUAUUCUAUUACAUUAUGAUUUUUUUUUCUGCCUUGCACUAUGGCUUAAUAUUUCUGGAGUAGGUAAUUUUUUUAUCUAUCUAUCUAUCUAUCUAUCUAUCUAUCUAUCUAUCUAUCUAUCUAUCUAUCUAUGGAAUUUGUGUGUUGAUAAUUUCAUUUUCAUUGUAAUAACAAAAGGUAAACUUAUUAUGCUGAUGACUUGCCUAAAUCAAGCCUGCUGUUUAAUCAUACCUUUUAAAAUCCAUCCAUUAUUAAACCUGAUUAGUCAAAUUCUGCAUUACAGGUACUUAAUCAUGUUUUGGCAGCAUUAAAUAUAAAGCAGGUAUCAACCUUUUGGAUGCAGUGACAGGUAUAACACACAACCUCAGACAGGGCAAAUUUAGAGUUGCCAAUUAAUCUAAUGCUGAUUUCUUUGGAAUGUUUAAAAAUGUGAGUAAACAAUCCUUUGUGGAUUUGGGGAGGAUAUGAAAACUCUGUAGUAACAGAGACUAGUCUAGGAUUCAGAGGAAGGACUCUGAACCUGUAAGGCAGUCACACUAACCACUGUGUCAUAGUGUUUUGCGAAAUAAUUAAUGAGCCAGUCCUAAAUAUCCCUUUAAAUUGAGUUGAGUUUACUAGAAGGACAAUAGUAUCUUCACAUCUGAAGACUGUAUUUCUAUUAAUUUGCAUGUAAACAUAUUAAUAAAGCAGCAUUUCCUUUUCUCUUUAUAUAUAACUGCAAACCAAAAAAACAUCUGACUAGACUUACUAUUAAAAUGAAAUAUUUAGUAAUCAAGAAAGGCAGUCAAGGGCCAAAUACUUUUUAAGCUAUUAUAAUUAAUGAGCCAAGUUCGAAUCAGCUUGGAAAGUGGCAUGCAAAGGCUUGUGCUAUUAGAGACUGUUUCAGAGUGUGUCAGUAUAAUUUAUUAGUUAUUAAGCAUUCUAGUUUUCUUUGGAGGCCUUUUUAAAAUGAAUAUUUACAUCCUUUAUGUCCAUUAUAUAUAGUUUUAAGGGAAAUGUUUUUGUUUCGUUUUUAAGUGCAAAAAAGUACUGCAUUUUAUCUAAAGAAUAAGUUGGAGUUAUUCAAAUAUUUUAUAUAUGUGUUUACUGCAUCACUAUGAAAUGUUAUUUUUUUUAUAAAUUAUCAUUUUACAUAAAGUUUAUUGUCUUGCUACAUGAUAUUCAAGAAUGCAAAAAUAAUUAAGCAUACUUUAUAUAUGGUACCGGUCAUGGCAAGUGCAAAUGCAGUAAUAUUUUUACUGUCUUUCUCUUUAUUGCGUGAUGACCUAUAUAGAGUAUCAAUAUUUGUGAGGACAAUACAAAUCAUAUUUCAUAACAACUUCCUUGUAAACAAUUAGCAUUUUUGUCUUUAUGCUUUCUGCUUAUCUUGAUAUGUCUAUAAUAACUGCACUUUUUUCAUAACACCUUGGAUAAUAUUGAGUUUACAGUUCCACAGGGCCACUGCUGUCUUCUGCAACGUAUACAACUAGAUGGCAAAUUUUCACUCAACACUGGAAAGCUGAUAAACGGUACACUUCUUUCGUAGUUUUUAUGCCUUGUCAUAUUACUGAAUUCUGUAGCACUAUAUAUUUAUCCAUCUUGUGUCUUACUUUACAUUAAAACAUAUAAAAAAUGUAACAGCCAAAAGUUUCAUAACUCAAAAUUAUUCACAUGGGUGUCUUCAUCCUUAUAAGUACAAUUGACAGAUAUGCAGGUAUGUGAUGUUAUUCCAACUGUUAUUUACUGUAAAUGGCACCAUCUAGUGAAAUUAAAUAUUGUUGAUUGUACAGGGUGAUUUUAAAUUGUGAAACAAAGCAAAAAUUCUGUUAUCAGUCUUGGCAGUUGUUGGCAGAAUCUAUUGCUCUACCAACUUCAUAUUAGAAUUCUAAUUGCAUGCAGAUGUAUUAAGGCAUGUGGUUAAUUUUUUGCAGCUACACUAUCCAAAGUCACAAAUUUAAUCAACAGUAUUUUGUACAUAUAAAAUGCAGUUUUGUUAAAUUAUUUCCACCUUCUAUUUACUGAACAGGAAAGCAAUUGUCCAGAGUACAGAAAGUUAGCUGAAAUUAUGAAAGUGUGAAACUCCCCUGUCAAAAAUAAAUAAUAUUGUUUUUCCCUCCCAGUGGGCAUCGAAAUUGUGUAUAAAUAAUCCAUUACAAGGUCUGUGUUUCUUGACAGAAUGUGGAUAUACCUGUAGAGUUUUCCUGUGUUAUAAAACUGAAAAUUUUCUAUGUCUCCAAAUUAAUUAAAGUACUGUGUUAGCUCUAAAAUCCUCUAAAUCCUUUCUUUUCCCACUCACUCUACAUUUAGCAUAUUUCACCAUGAAAACAUAUUUGGAGAUGCAUAAUGCAUUUGUGAGAAAGUAUGUUUAUGUAUGUUUUGUUGUAGUUUAUAAAUCAUAAGUAUUAUUAAAUUCCUAUAGAUUAGUCAGUUUAUUGUUUGCUUUCAAAGGAAAAUGUUCAUGUGUAUGAUAUGUCUCAGAUAAAUGCUGUCAACUGAAAAUAUCAUUAAUGUUUAAAUGUAAUUUAAAAAUCAACUUCAAAGUGUUUGAUUGCUAAUGAAUAUUAUCUGCUAAACACAAUACUUUGCAAAAUAUUACAGCUCACGUGUGAUGCUGCUAAGCACCUUGAAAGUACGAGUUAAUAGAUGACCGAAUAAUGCUGUUCAACUCAUAUUCACCUAGAGUAGUGAUCUUGUUCUGAAGAGCCAGAGUGGCUGUAAAGUUUUCAUCCUAAAAAUAUGCAUCUUAAAUGCCAGUUCAUGCUGUAUAUAAGACAUCAUCUAAUACUGUAGGUGGUUUGCUCCUGCUCUCUUUUUACCAUGUAACAAAUUCAUCACUGUUAUACAUUUUACUUUCCUAAGUAGUAAAAAUUAUUUUAUUUUAUUUCAUUAUUAAUAUUUGUUAAAUCCGUUUUCUUGAUGAUUUUAUAGAUAAAAAUAAUGAAAUUAAAUUUGCUUGAUUUUGGAUACCUAUUUACUGCUGUUUAAAGGCAUUUUCACACUCAUAGUCCAUUUGCUUUGUUCUGAAUCAUGGGGGGAUCCAUUAUUAUGUUUAAGGAUCUAGUUAGUUUGGUUGUGUUUCACACUGCAAACUUAUUUACGUACAGUUUUGUCAAAUUUUGAAAGCAAUGUGGAAUAAAGUUGCUUUUUUACCUCCGUGUAACCAUUUAUAUUAUUUUCUCAUCAUUUUCAUAGCAUCAUCACACUACCAUUUUUAGGUUUGUUUUGUGUCACAGCUAUUACCAUUUUGGGAGUUCUGACUUUACCACCACUGUAUUUUUGUUAACGAGAAAGUCUGGUUGCUAUCACAUGACCAUAAAAAUUCUGCAAGUAACAUCACCACCUAAUCAUUAUUUAAGAUGGCAAUGCAAUAUCUGCAGAGUCCAAGUUUUUGGAUAAAAUGCAAAAUUUAAUGGAGGAUUUAGUUAGAUCUUAUUUGAAAGUUAGAACCUCACAAGGUUUUGACAAUAAUCGUUGGUUUGUGUAUUGGGCUUGGUGUCUUGGUGCAUUGUUUCGACUUUUCUGCGUUUUUGACCUUUGCGCGAAACAUUAAACAUUGGCCUCCACUAUCAUAUCCUGGCCUAUUUCCUGCCUUUUAUUUUUACCACCAGCAGUAUAUGAAAUUUGAUUUAGGUUGAAAAGUGAGUGACACUGAGAUGAAGAGGCUAUUAUCAGAGAUUAAGCAGGAGCAGAAAGAUUAGAGAGCGCUACAAAAACAAGUGAAUGACCUCAUUCCAUGAUUCCACCAAGUGAUGCUAGAAUUUAGAAACCUGCAGCAGUGAUUAAUCCCACUUACUAACCCUGUCCCUCGGGUUAAUAGCAAUACCAAGAGCCUGUUAAUCCAUAUCCUACAAGUUUCUUAGGGUAUUGAAUAUCAGAGAUGGGAAAUGUAGAGGCUUCCAAAAUCAUUCCAGGCUGGUCUUUGACCAACAACCAUAAAAAUACCCACUGAUUGUUUAAUAGUGGUAUUUAUAAUUUCUCCUUUAGAUGGGAUCCUCUCUCUGCCCUUUAUGAUUUCACCCAUCUUUGUUAUUUAACUUUGAUUUUUUACUUUGAAAUGGUGUUGCUGUUAGUAAAAUCAGAUUUCAGGCAUGACUGAAAGUCAAUUCAUGAUAAUAUUAUUACCUUUUACACUAUCACUGAAGACAAAGGCUAGAAGAAAUGCAAUCCUGUUUGAGUUCAGAAAAGGUCUCUUAUAAUAACUAAAAGAUGAGCUAGCUAGCCAUGACAUGGAGGAUACCUUUAAUGAGUUAAUUAGUCGGGUUCUUAAAUUAGGUAUCAGGCUGACUGAGCAGAUAUUAGAACACUGACCAGUUAGAGAGCUGAAAGAGGCUCCUGUGCCUACAGAACUGGAAAAGGGUAGUCUUAGUAUGAGAGAGCUAAGAUGGAGUUUUACAGAAACUUGUUUUUAUUUUGGAGAUUCCACAAAUGCAGUGCCCUUCAUUAAUAUUUGGACCAUGUAGAAAAGGAUAUUGUCAUUUUUACAUCAAGUGCCCAAAAAGCAAGCAAAUACUCUUAAAUUAAUGUCACUUUAAUUACAUCUAAAUUGUUUAAUUUGUAAUUUUAAACCGUGGAGGAAAGGAGUAAAUCAAGGAAGAAUAUGUCUUUGUCCCAAACAUUAUGGAUGGUACUGUAUACUUACAUCUUAUUCUAAACUGCAGGAGUGCUAAAAAAAAACAGCACCCUAUAUUAGGAUUGGUAGGGUAGGUAAAUGUAAUCAAACCCUUUAUAGAAAUCUUUAAGCGGUCUUUGUAAAAAUUAAGUCCAAGGAGCUCUCAGCCUUAAUUGAUAGUGGGGCAUCUGAGAAUUUUAUUAGUUCAGGGCUUCAUAGUUUAAUGCUCCAUAAAUUCCUUUGAGGUUCAAACAAGGAGUUCUUUAAAUUGGUUGAGGUGUUAUUCAGAAUGGAUUGUUGGAAUUCAGUACUCCUGUUUUAGAAUUAAAAGUUGAUAGUUUGCACUUAUAACUACUGAUUUUCUUUGUUGUUCAUAGUACCAACCAACCUUGACCUUUCAACCGCUUUUGACACUAUUGACCAUGAGAUCUUGCAGUUGCAGCUUGAACAUAUGGUGGGGCAUACAGAGGCUGCUCUUAACUGAUUCAGAUCAUUUGUUACUGGUAGAUACUUUUCAGUGUCUUUCAAUUCUUGUUUCUUAUCUACUGCUCCUGUUAAAUGUAGUCUUCCUCAGGGAUCCAUUUUGGGUCCUAUUUUAUUUUCUAUUUAUCUUUAUCCUAUAGGAGCUAUUUUCAGGAAAUGUAAUAUUUCUUUUCACUGUUAUGCUGAUGAUCCAUGGGUUUGUAUUCCUGCUUGUAACUCUGCAAUUAAUCAGCUGCACAAUUGUCUUUUUGAACUAAGAUCAUGGAUGGCUGAUAAUUUUCUUGAACUUAAUCAAAAUAAAACGGAAGUGGUGAUAGUUGGUCCCCCUGCCAAAGCUGAAAUUGUUUUCAAAUUCUUGGCUCUUUCGUUGACUUUUGCCAACCUCAAGUCCGUAAUCUUGGUGUCAUUUUUAACAGUAACUCAGGGCUUUUGCAGCUGGUGUACCUCAUCUGUGGAACUCUUUACCUCAUUAUAUUAAGGAGUUACCUUCAAUUGAACUGUUUAAAACUAGACUGAAGACUGAUUUCUGUUCUCUAGAUUUCAGUGACCUUCAUUGACACUGAUGGUUGCCCUAUUUUUAGUCAUCUUCUUUCUUUUCUUUAACUCACUGCUGGCAGUAUUUCAUUUUAUUGUACUUUAUUUCUGUUUAUUUUAUUUAUGUUCACUGUAUGUUUUAAUGUCAAGCAUUUUGGAUACAGAAUUACUGAUGUUGUUUUAAAUGUGCUCUAUAAAUAAACUGACAUUGACAAUAAUCCCCACAUUAAUCUGAAUUAGUUUAAAUGGACUACGCAUUACUUAACUAUCAAAACCUAUCUUUACAUACAAACUGGAUUGUGCAUUAGCAUCUCAAGGUGCCAACCUACUAAAGAUUGCAAGGAUUAACAAAAAAUAAUGUCGAUCUGUUAACUACAGGCCCCAUCACAUAUAUUGUUAGGGCCAGUUUAUGUUAAUCAGUUUGAAAUUGCAUUAUUUUACUGUAUGUUUAAUCAUCUUUGUGUAUUUAUCUGUGUGCAUUCUGUAAAUAGUACUUUGUAAUUGUAUUUUAAUUGUGAACAUCUGUGCCUGCACUCAAUGAAAAGCAGUAUACAAAAAUACACUGAACUGAAUUAAUUGGUUUAAUUUGGAAAUAUAAGCCUAGAGGAGAACUAUUUUAGAGAUUGAAUGCUUCGUAUUACACCUCCUCAGAUUCAGUGUUGUUCAGUAAUCACUGAACUUCCCCAGUAUGGGUAUCUUUCAAAAAGGAAUCACUUAAUUUAUAAUAUAGGAAUUAUAAUUUCACUAAUUACC